rnacentral:ncRNA from 1 species
CGGCCUGAGGUCGGACGAGGCUACCCGCUGAAUUUAAGCAUAUUACUAAGCGGAGGAAAAGAAACUAACGAGGAUUCCCUCAGUAACGGCGAGUGAAGCGGGACGAGCCCAGCGCCGAAUCCGGCCGCUUAUGGAGCGGACGGAAUUGUG